UCCUAGCAACUCUAUACUACUGGUUGUAGUAUUAUAUGUAUUACAGGUACAGCUAUCGUUUCGUAUACAGGAAAAAUUUCUUUGUAUACGACAGAUUUGUCGGUGUGCCCGGGGAACGUGAAAUCCGGGACGUGACAGAUUAAAUUGGUAUCAGAGCUUAGUAUUAGGUCGUUGGGAUCUAGGAACCCUAAGCUGAAAAAUCUUAGGAAGGCAAGACGCAAGAGGCGCGACUUAUUGCGAAAGUUAUUGAUU
rnacentral:lncRNA from 1 species